AGUACUUGCAGAGCAUGCAUUUGAUGUUGCUGACCCUAGAAAGUGCUUUGACAAGAUAUGACAAAUGGUAAAUUCGUUCUGAGCGUAAAUGCCCUGAAGGACCUAGAAACUGUAUUCUAACAAAAGAUAGGAUGCAACAGCUGGAUCUUCUUCCAUUUGAUUAGAAUUUGUUGUUCUGCCUUGCCCCUCCUGAAUAGGUCGUUUACCACUUCCAGGAAAGAAAAAAUGUCAAAAAGAGUCAAAAAGACAGCCUCAGAAGCCUGAAAAAAUGUCAAGAAGACAGCCUCAAGAGUCUGAGCCUUAGUACUAAGAAGCAUCCAGGCCUCAAAAAUGAGAGAGAGAAAGAAGGAUGGAAGAGAGGAUAAGGGAAGGAGGCGUAAGAAAG
rnacentral:lncRNA from 1 species